rnacentral:rRNA from 1 species
AUAGUGAUAUUAAGCAAAACCCAAAAAGACAGUCUCAGUUCGGAUUGAAGGCUGAAAUUCGCCUUCAUGAAGCCGGAAUUGCUAGUAAUGGCAGGUCAGCAUACUGCCGUGAAUACGUUCCCGGGCCUUGUACACACCGCCCGUCACACCAUGAGAGUUGGGGAUACCCGAAGCCUGUGAGCUAACAGUAAUGAAGCAGCAGUCGAAGGUAGAAUCAAUGAUUGGGGUGAAGUCGUAACAAGGUAGC